AAAAGACUUAGUCCUAACCUUGCUAUUGAUUUUUGCUAGACAUAUACAUGCAAGUAUCUGCACGCCAGUGAAAAUGCCCUAACAUCUUUGACAAGAAAAAGGAGCAGGUAUCAGGCACACCCAUGAGUAGCCCAAAACACCUUGCCACAGCCACACCCCCACGGGUAUUCAGCAGUAAUUAACCUUAAGCAAUAAGUGUAAACUUGACUUAGCCAUAGCAAUCCUCAGGGUUGGUAAAUCUUGUGCCAGCCACCGCGGUCAUACAAGAAACCCGAAUCAAUAGCCAACCGGCGUAAAGAGUGGCCAUAUGUUAUCCUCAUUACCUAAGAUCGAAGUGCAACUAAGCUGUCAUAAGCCCAAGAUCCACUUAAGGCCCCCUCCCAACCAUCUUAGCCUAACGACUAAUUUCACCCCACGAAAGCCAGGACACAAACUGGGAUUAGAUACCCCACUAUGCCUGGCCCUAAAUCUAGAUGCCUGCAUACCCAUGCAUCCGCCCGAGAACUACGAGCACAAACGCUUAAAACUCUAAGGACUUGGCGGUGCCCCAAACCCACCUAGAGGAGCCUGUUCUGUAAUCGAUAGUCCACGAUUCACCCAACCACCCCUUGCCAACACAGCCUACAUACCGCCGUCGCCAGCUCACCUAAAAUGAAAGACCAACAGUGGGCCCAACAGUCAUACCACUAGCAAGACAGGUCAAGGUAUAGCCCAUGGGGUGGAAGAAAUGGGCUACAUUUUCUAACAUAGAAUAAACGAAAAAGGGCGUGAAACCCGUCCUUGGAAGGAGGAUUUAGCAGUAAAGUAGGACCAUUUUCCUAAGCCUACUUUAAGACGGCCCUGGGGCACGUACAUACCGCCCGUCACCCUCUUCGUAGGCUACCAGUACUAAUAAAUAAUACCCAUAUUAAGCCAAAGACGAGGUAAGUCGUAACAAGGUAAGCGUACCGGAAGGUGCGCUUAGACCAC
rnacentral:ncRNA from 1 species